AUUAACGCUAGCGGCAGGCAUAAUACAUGCAAGUUGAACGGCAGCACAGGUAGCAAUACUGGGUGGCGAGUGGCGCACGGGUGCGUAACACGUAUGCAACCUACCCUAUACAGGCGAAUAACCUUUAGAAAUGAGGGCUAAUACGCCGUGGUAUUAUCUUGGGGCAUCUUGAGAUAAUUAAAGAUUUAUCGGUAUAGGAUGGGCAUGCGUCCCAUUAGUUAGUUGGUAGGGUAACGGCCUACCAAGGCGAUGAUGGGUAGGGG
rnacentral:rRNA from 1 species